rnacentral:rRNA from 1 species
CGAGUCAUUGUAGCAUACAAGGCAUACGGCUCAGUAACGCGUAGUCCACCUAACCUAUGGACGGGAAUAACCUCGGGAAACUGAGAAUAAUGCCCGAUAGAACAUUAUGCCUGGAAUGGUUUAUGUUCCAAAUGAUUUAUCGCCGUAGGAUGGGACUGCGGCCUAUCAGUUUGUUGGUGAGGUAAUGGCCUACCAAGACUAUUACAGGUACGGGCUCUGAGAGGAGUAGCCCGGAGAUGGGUACUGAGACACGGACCCAGGCCCUAUGGGGCGCAGCAGGCGAGAAAACUUUGCAAUGUGCGAAAGCACGACAAGGUUAAUCCGAGUGGUUUCUGCUAAAGAAACCUUUUGUCAGUCCUAGAAACACUGAUGAAUAAGGGGUGGGCAAGUUCUGGUGUCAGCCGCCGCGGUAAAACCAGCACCUCAAGUGGUCAGGAUGAUUAUUGGGCCUAAAGCAUCCGUAGCCGGCUCUGUAAGUUUUCGGUUAAAUCUGUACGCUCAACGUACAGGCUGCCGGGAAUACUGCAGAGCUAGGGAGUGGGAGAGGUAGACGGUACUCGGUAGGAAGGGGUAAAAUCCUUUGAUCUAUUGAUGACCACCUGUGGCGAAGGCGGUCUACCAGAACACGUCCGACGGUGAGGGAUGAAAGCUGGGGGAGCAAACCGGAUUAGAUACCCGGGUAGUCCCAGCUGUAAACUAUGCAAACUCAGUGAUGCAUUGGCUUGUGGCCAAUGCAGUGCUGCAGGGAAGCCGUUAAGUUUGCCGCCUGGGAAGUACGUACGCAAGUAUGACACUCAAAGGAAUUGACGG